rnacentral:rRNA from 1 species
AUGCCAAGGAAGCGCAACGGAUAUGGUGAUGGCCAUGAGGGAGUUCCUUCAAAGAAGCCGAAGCGCCCUCCACCUCAUAACAGGGCUUCCCCUAACUCACUUUUGACUGCCUGUAAAGGUUUGUCUGAUGGUAGGAAAAAUGCUAUCGACGAAAUGGACUUCAAAAGCCUUCGGGAGAUCAAGUGCGGCCACCCAUUCAGUUUCCUUAGUGAAUGGCUUGCCAGGUUAUACGAGCCAAAAUCUCGUGAAGUGGUUGUUCCAGGGCGUGGCAGGAUCCCUGUUAAUGAAGAGUCGGUUCAUCGUGUGAUGGGUGUGCCCCGUGGUAGGGAGGAUGUCCCUUACAAUCUACCUACAGAAGCUGAUAUUGAGUUAGGUAUUGAGAUGUUUGGUGAGCUUGGACAUACGCCGAAGAUGACAGAUGUCCUUGAUCUUAUAACAAGUUCUGUCAAUAUUGAUGAGAAGUUCAAGCCAAUGUGGCUUAUGCUUGCCGGCAAUAUUGUCAUUGCGCCUACUACAUCCAACAAGAUUAGUCCUAGGUGGUAUGGUGUGUUGUCCAAGUUCAUUGCUGAUGAGCUCCACAAGGCACUGUCAAAGGGAAAGCCUACAAAGGGAUGCCUUCUUUUCUACAAUCUUUUGUACAUUGACGCGAUUGAUCUUACUGGUCUUGGUAUCGCAUUGCCCGAUGGUGCUUUUGCUAUUAAUGUUUGGACGAAAGAGAAGAUAUCUGAAGUGCUUAGUAGGGAUGUCCAAGCGGACGAAAUUUCUUAUGGGAAACUACCGUUGAAACCCCAGUUUGGCGCCGAUUUUUGCUUGUUUGGCGGUUUACAAGGUCUUGGGAAAUUCAUGCGUGUGCAUGUCCCACCAAACUGCAGUGAUGAGAAACUUGCAAAGGCUUCUGAGCUUGUCGGUCGGUUUUCGUCUGCCUUGGUUGGCCUGCUUGGCGAUCUUGUGCAAGGGUUCAUCUCCCUUGAUGAUGAAGGCAGUUCACAUGUGUCUCAUCGACUAGACACGGAUCUUAGGGGAAUUUCUUUUGGUACUCACAAUAUGGCAAAGCCCCCUCCUGCACGCCGUACCUGUCAAAUAGACAACCUUGGAAAGAAUAUUAUUGAUGAAUCGGAUACUGACAAUGAGACGCAGGAUAACGACGAUGACGACUCUGAUGAUGAUGAUGAUGAUACAGACUUUCAAGUUUUUUACCAUGGUGAAAAAGGCCAUACUGGUUCUUCUUCCUGUAGCGGGGCAGUGAACGUGGCUUCUGGCAGCGGGGUAGCAAAUGUGGACGCGCCACCCAAGCCUGCCCAACUAUCAGAUAGGGAUAUUCAUCUUUCUGUCAUGAAAUUGGUCAUCCAAGAGCUUGGGAUCCGUGUGGCUGACAAGGGCGCUGGUGAGGUCAUUCCACCCUCAACUCAGAUUAAGCAGGUUCCACGCAGGUCACCCAGCAAACAAAUUGGUACACUUGAGGCGUCAUCUAGUAUCCCACGAUCAAGUGCACCCGACAAACAAGUCUGUUCACUUGAGGCGUCAUCUACUAUCCCGAGAUCAGCCUUCGUCGAAGCAGCGGCUACUUGCGAAGUUGCAUCUGAUGUUGUUGAAUCUGUAAAACAACUUGCUGGAGUGGCCACCAUCACUUCUGUUGUUGAAGAGCUCGCCUCUGCAGCUGUUAAUGAUGAAUUGCAUGCUGAGGAAAUUCCUGCUGCAGACAUUGUCGUCACUGAAGCUGCCCAAGUGUCUGUGCCCCCUGAUGUGGGAGCGGCUGUUGCAGCAACUGGUGUUCAUGCAGAAAAAACAGCUCCAGUUAUGUUGAACUUGAUGAUGACGAAGUACUUAUGUGGUGGGAAGAAUUUGAACAUGAUAACCCAGCAGCCAAAGGAAAAGCUGUUGCCCAAGGAGUUGCUGCCAUAUUCGGCACUCAUCCCCAUCAAAGAGGAUGAGGCUGUUUAUGAUGAAGUUAUCAAGCACACAACUGAUUCGAACUCCAAGAUUAAGGGGGUAGUCGACAUCGAUGGAAGGUGGGUCACACUCGGCGAGCUUGCUGAUUGUGUGAGAAAACGGGGCAGGUUUCAACCAGUAUUAUUGAGUUGCAUGUCCGUGUUCUUCAACAUUUGGAAAUGCCAAACAAGAUUAUCUUCCCUUGGUCGCUGUCCAUAUAUCUUCUUGUUGGAGACUUCAAAUCUACUAUUCCCUGCUCUACAAAAGUUGGGAGCGGCACCACAUGACAGUCAUUGGUAUGUAUUAUCGCUGAAUCUUAAGGCGAAACGAUUUGAGGUGCUAGAUUCACUUCAUGAAGAAGAUAGUCCAUCUUUAAUUGAGCACGCAACAAGGUAUAUGAACGCUAUAAAGAAGGCUUGGUUGAUUGCAUACAAGGACUCACAUAAGCAAAUUCAAGACUAUGAACUCGUGUACAUUGAUGUUCUUAAACAGGAGAACGGCAUUGAUUGUGGCUUCUUCACUCUCAUGUUUCUGGAGUUAUGGAAUGGGAAAAAUAAUCCUGCUUUCACCCAUGACCAAUAA